rnacentral:rRNA from 1 species
AUAAGUUACUAAGGGCACACGGGGGAUGCCUAGGCUCUGAGAGGCGAAGAAAGACGUGAUAAGCUGCGAUAAGCUAGGGGGAGUGGCAAAUACAUAUUGAUCCCUAGAUUUCUGAAUGGGGAAACCCGUACCGAUGAAGUCGGUACAUCCGUAAGGAGGCGAACGCGCUGAACUGAAACAUCUAAGUAGGCGCAGGAAGAGAAAACAAGAGUGAUUUCCGUAGUAGUGGCGAGCGAACUGGAAAUAGCCCAAACCGUAGGUGUUUCGGCACCUGCGGGGUUGUAGGACUGCAACGUCGUUGCAAAUGGUUAGUGGAACAGUCUGGAAAGUCUGGCGAUACGGGUGAUAGCCCCGUACACGAAAAUUGUUUGUAAUGUAGCAGUAUCCUGCGUAGGGCGGGACACGUGAAAUCCUGUCUGAAUCUGCCGGAACCAUCCGGUAAGGCUAAAUACUCCUCAGAGACCGAUAGUGAACCAGUACUGUGAAGGAAAGGUGAAAAGAACCCUGAACAAGGGAGUGAAAAAGACCCUGAAACCGUGUGUCUACAAGCGGUCGAAGCCUUUAGGGGCGACGGCGUGCCUUUUGCAUAAUGAUCCUACGAGUUACUCCUCACUGGCAAGGUUAAGUGUUUAAGACACGGAGCCGAAGCGAAAGCGAGUCUGAAUAGGGCGCGAUAGUCAGUGGGGGUAGACGCGAAACCUUGUGAUCUACCCAUGGCCAGGUUGAAGUUCCGGUAACACGGAAUGGAGGACCGAACCGAUAAGCGUUGAAAAGCUUCCGGAUGAGCUGUGGGUAGGGGUGAAAGGCCAAUCAAACUGGGAAAUAGCUCGUACUCCCCGAAAUGCAUUUAGGUGCAGCGUUGAUAUAGAGUCUUAUAGAGGUAGAGCUACUGAUUGGACUAGGGGGCUUCACCGCCUACCAAAUCCUGACAAACUCCGAAUGCUAUAAAAUAUGAUCAGCAGUGAGGGCAUGGGUGCUAAGGUCCAUGUCCGAGAGGGAAAGAACCCAGACCAUCAGCUAAGGUCCCCAAAUGUAUGCUAAGUUGAAUAAACGUUGUGCGGUUGCAUAGACAGCUAGGAUGUUGGCUUGGAAGCAGCCAUUCAUUUAAAGAGUGCGUAACAGCUCACUAGUCGAGCGAUCGUGCGUGGAUAAUAAGCGGGCAUAAAGCAUACUACCGAAGCUAUGGAUUAUAUAGUAAUAUAUACUGGUAGGGGAGCAUUCCAUGUGUGUUGAAGGUGAAGUGUGAGCUUUGCUGGAACGCAUGGAAAAGCAAAUGUAGGAAUAAGUAACGAUAAUGCAGGCGAGAAACCUGCACACCGAAAGACUAAGGUUUCCUGGGCGACGUUAAUCGUCCCAGGGUUAGUCGGGACCUAACGCGAACCCGAAGGGGGUAGUGGAUGGCGAACUGGUUAAUAUUCCAGUACUUGUUAUAACUGCGAUGGGGUGACGGAUUGAUGAAAGUACCGCGUACUGACGGAAUAGUACGUUAAAGAGUGUAGGCGUUGAUCGAGAUAGGCAAAUCCGUUUCGAGAGCUGAACUUGAUAGUACCGGGAGGCUACGGCCAACUGGAUAGUGUAUGUAAGAGAUCCCAAGAAAACCCUCUAAGCUUCAGGUUAUAACAACUCGUACCGUAAACCGACACAGGUAGUCGAGAAGAGAAUUCUAAGGUGCUCGAGUGAUUCAUGGCUAAGGAACUAGGCAAAAUGGUCUCGUAACUUCGGGAGAAGAGACGCCACAGCAAUGUGGCCGCAGUGAAUAGGCCCAGGCGACUGUUUAACAAAAACACAUGGCUUUGCAAAAUCGAAAGAUGAAGUAUAAGGCCUGACACCUGCCCGGUGCUGGAAGGUUAAGAGGAGAUGUUAGUUUCGGCGAAGCAUUGAAUUGAAGCCCCAGUAAACGGCGGCCGUAACUAUAACGGUCCUAAGGUAGCGAAAUUCCUUGUCGGGUAAGUUCCGACCUGCACGA